AGAAAAAUUGCUGGAUUAUAUGGUAAGACUAUGUUGAGUUUUGUAAGAAGCUCCCAAACUGUAUUCCAAAGUGGAUAUACCAUUUUUCAUAUCCAUCAGCAAU
rnacentral:pre_miRNA from 1 species